GCAUACAUAUAGCUCAGCUGGUAGAGCAUGAGACUUGUAAUCUCAGAGCUGUGGGUUCGAGCCCCAUAUUGGGCA